AGAAUCAACGCUGGCGGCGUGCCUAACACAUGCAAGUCGCACGAGAAAGGGGACUUCGGUCCCUGAGUACAGUGGCGCACGGGUGAGUAACACGUGAAUAAUCUACCUCCGAGUGGGGAAUAACUGAGAGAAAUCUUAGCUAAUACCGCAUAACACUUACGAGUCAAAGCAGCAAUGCGCUUGGAGAGGAGUUCGCGGCAGAUUAGUUAGUUGGCGGGGUAAUGGCCCACCAAGACGAUGAUCUGUAUCCGGCCUGAGAGGGCGCACGGACACACUGGAACUGAAACACGGUCCAGACUCCUACGGGAGGCAGCAGUGGGGAAUUUUGCGCAAUGGGGGAAACCCUGACGCAGCAACGCCGCGUGGAGGAUGAAAUCCCUUGGGAUGUAAACUCCUUUCGAUCGGGAAGAUAAUGACGGUACCGAGAGAAGAAGCCCCGGCUAACUUCGUAGCCAGCAGCCGC
rnacentral:rRNA from 1 species